AUCUAAUUACAUAUUACUAUAUUUAUCGUAGAUAGAAAAUUUUCAUGACUCUACUUCGGGAGCUAUUUUUCCCAUUAGCAAACCGAAACUUGUAGCAUCCCCAUCUCUCGUGUGUAUUCCGUUUUCCUUUUCGCCUCGUUCAUUUGUCAGGAAAUCCGUUUAAGCAUGGCGACACAACGGCGACACGGUGACACUCGACUUUAAUUUUUCAAGCUUUGGACCCUGCGCGAUCGCGUCGAUGUUUUUCUUCCCGUCCGCCAGCUUCCCGUAUUUCUGGAGCCGCGUAAUUAUUCCGAGUUGCCUGUUCUCGGAGCCUGGGCUUGCGUCAUUUGUCAGGAUGAAGGUCCUUCCUGACUCUUGCGUGACGACUGACGGAGAGAGUAUUCCGAUGUAUAUCACAGGAUAUUCUUUGAGAAAAAAUCUGGGCUCUCAUCUCGGUUGAAGAUUUGUGGUCGCUUGCAAGAUAAUUAGUCAUCAUAAUCCAGAAUCCGGUCAUGAAUAGACGAAUCUCUUAGACUCACGAAGUCCUCGCGCGUGUGGUAGGACCACCGUGCACGAUAAUUUCGUAGUUUUCGGUUUCGUGUUUCGUUUUCGCCAGGAUAACGGCUGGGUCGUCAUUACUUCUCCGCGCCUUCGAAAGCGAUCCGCGGUCGUUAGACGUUACAUUUUGCCUCGUAAAAAUUGCCGGCAAAAAAUCAAUAUUCCGCGGGGCCACGGUGAAUUGAGAUGCAAGAUAGUUGACGGCGAUUAGACCCAACAGGUGUGGGCCGAAUCGUGAGUGUGGCUAAUCUAUAAUUGUGCGAAAUUGUGACGCCCCGAGCACCGAGACCGUCACGUUCGUGGAUCUUGUGUGAGGAUGGGCCCGCAUUUAAAGGUACAACGACACCGACCACCUGCAACCUCCUCUCUCACGCGCCCGCCUUCGUUAUUUUUUUUUACAUUUUUCGCGCUACGCGGCAUUACGCUUUCUGCCUUACGAGCGCAAAAGGCUGAAAAUGCACACGUUCGUCUGUUGCAUCGGCAAACUCGGACGAUCAUAUGUUUCUUUUAAAUAAAAACUUCUCUUUUUUCUUUCA